CUUGCCUACGGGAGGCAGCAGUGAGGAAUAUUGGUCAAUGGGCGCGAGCCUGAACCAGCCAAGUAGCGUGAAGGAUGACUGCCCUACGGGAUGUAAACUUCUUUUAUAAAGGAAUAAAGUGAGGCACGUGUGCCUUUUUGUAUGUACUUUAUGAAUAAGGAUCGGCUAACUCCGUGCCAGCAGCCGCGGUAAUACGGAGGAUCCGAGCGUUAUCCGUAUUUAUUGGGUUUAAAGGGCGCGUAGGUGGGUUGUUAAGUCAGUUGUGAAAGUUUGCGGCUCAACCGUAAAAUUGCAAUUG
rnacentral:rRNA from 1 species